AAGAAUAUCCUUGCUGUGCCAAGAAAGAAAAGACCAUGGAUCUACUAGUUGCAGAUUUCAGCAGUAAUGCCAAGGGGGCAAGAAGUGACCAGCAGAACAAUUAGGCCAUGGCAACAGAAGCCAACUACAACCCAUGUUCCAAUCUAUGACCUCCCUCUCCUGCUGGUACAAGGAUAUGAUCUGGAGUCUGGGAAGUUCAAGAGCAUGGCACCAACAUCUGGCAAGGGCUUUCAUUCUGCAUCAUCUCAUGGAGGAAAAUAAAAAGGAGGCUGGAUGCUCCUGUGAAGUACGUCUUUUAUCUACUUGCUAUCUUUGCAAUUCCUUCAUGCUACAAUGAGAGAUAGAGUUUAAACCUGAAAACAUUCUUGGAAAAGGAAUCUUCAUUAAUUCAAAUAUACCACAAGGUUCUGCCACUGUGGCCAUCACCUGGGAUUGGAGAAAGGCAAAUGGAACAGACCAACUCAGAAUUACAGUCCUCAUUUAUUUCAUCAGAGGUUGGCCUGUACUUACAUUAGCCCUUUCUGGCUAGAGCUUCAUGUCUCACCCACUGUCUGUUCACUUCUGACCUGAAACAAUGGGA
rnacentral:lncRNA from 10 species